UACGUAGGGUGCGAGCGUUGCCGGAUUUAUUGGGCGUAAAGAGCUCGUAGGCGGUUUGUCGCGUCGGCUGUGAAAACCCGGGGCUCAACCCCGGGCCUGCAGUCGAUACGGGCAAACUAGAGUGCGGUAGGGGAGACUGGAAUUCCUGGUGUAGCGGUGAAAUGCGCAGAUAUCAGGAGGAACACCGGUGGCGAAGGCGGGUCUCUGGGCCGUAACUGACGCUGAGGAGCGAAAGCGUGGGGAGCGAACAGG
rnacentral:rRNA from 1 species